rnacentral:tRNA from 1 species
GCCUCGGUAGCUCAGUCGGUAGAGCAGAGGACUGAAAAUCCUCGUGUCGGUGGUUCGAUUCCGCCUCUGGGCACCA